rnacentral:rRNA from 1 species
UACGAAGGGGGCUAGCGUUGUUCGGAAUCACUGGGCGUAAAGGGCGCGUAGGCGGCUUUUCAAGUCGGGGGUGAAAGCCUGUGGCUCAACCACAGAAUUGCCUUCGAUACUGUUAGGCUUGAGACCGGAAGAGGUGAGAGGAACUGCGAGUGUAGAGGUGAAAUUCGUAGAUAUUCGCAAGAACACCAGUGGCGAAGGCGGCUCACUGGUCCGGUUCUGACGCUGAGGCGCGAAAGCGUGGGGAGCAAACAGG